rnacentral:sRNA from 1 species
UCUCCCAUCCAAGUACUUACCAGGCCCAGCCCCGCUUAGCUUCCAAGAUUAGACGAGAUCAGGCACGUUCAGGUUGGU